rnacentral:lncRNA from 1 species
UCGCUGAGGGCACCUGUCCCCUUUGGGUGGUCAGGUUGACUUACCUGCUGCCUCACCGCCCGGGAGGGAGGGGGGUAGUCACACGCAGCACACUGGCACAGCUGCCCCAGUUGGCUAUUCCCAGAUCCCAACCUGAUUAUUUAAAGAGCUCGAAAAUCAGCUUUCACAGCUCAGGAGCAGCAGGGAUGGCUGAUUCAUCAACACGUGGAGUCCCACUGAACACUCAUCAUCAUCUCAACCAGUCUUGAAAACACAAACACAUUCUUUACUCUUAUGAUUCACAAGCCUACGCUUCGUAAUAAGGCAAAUUAGUGGCAAUUGCAGUCAUCGACUAGAAGGACCCGACAGUGGAAAGCGGCAGUGUGUCCUGACUCCUGUGUGAUCAUUAACACAUAGAUGGCAUCGCCAUGGACCCCUUGCUUUCCUUCCUGCAUGCUUAUUUACUUCCUGUUAUAGUAUUAAUGGUGUUGUGUGGCAAGGCCUUAUUAUUGUAGUAAGCAGGAACCAACACUAAUCCAAUAUAAUGAGCCAGUGCACUAAUAUGAAUCUGUAAGAGAUGCAAUUAUUGGAAUGGGGGUGGGUAUCACAAGUAGAUUUUACAAAUAAGCCGUUUUCUGCACAACAUUACCAAGAAUAAAAUUCUCCCAAGAAUACUCUAGAA